CGUGAGCACUCCUCAGCUCAUCUGCCAGCACCAGCUCGUCCUGCAGGGAGAGCAUGGGGCAGCAAAUGGGUGAAUGCAGGUCCCUCUCCUGGGGAGCUGUAAGGUUGACUCCAAUAGGGAAGAUGAAAGGCAAAAACGUUAAGGAGGAACCAAGAUACUAAAAAGCAGGCAACAGCAUCACAGUGUGACAAUGGAUUGUUUCUGCACACCCUGUUCCCACAAAGCACCUGGCACAUAGGAUACAACCAAACAGACACAGCUUGGUCUCCUCCACUGCUGGCCUGAGGUUCUGAUGGCUGUGGGAGAGGACCAGCUCCAUCUUUCACUCUGAGCUGGUGCUAGUAGGGAGCUACGAACCAUCAGGCAGCAGCUGCCAUGGAUGCCCCCUUUCUGGAAAUCCUGCUGAAAGAUAAAGAAAAGCUCUACCUCAGCACAAGGUUUUUCAAAGGUGAACGCAGUGAUGCAGGAAGGGGAACCUCCUCAAAGCUGCUGAAUUCAUCUCAAGUUUGCAAAGUCAACUUUGAUGUUAGAGUCAAGCUUUGAAAGGGCCAUCUCUCUUCUGGUCCCUGGAGAGAAGAACGUUUCAUUGUUUAGGCCACAGGCAAUGGCACCAAUACAGUUAGUGUGUACAACGACAAAUGCUCUGUAUCUUAGCAUGUUCAUACUUCAAGAGUCACCAACAGGGAUUUAAACACAUCUGAGUGCUCAGCAGGCACUGGGAAGGACAGAAGAUUGUUUAAACAAACGUUUGCAGUCUUGCUGUAACAAGAAUCAUUGACAAUUAAAAAAGUCAGCUUGCAAGGAGCCUUGUACUAGGUAUUGUAUGCAAGUCCCCUUUGUACUUGAGGGUCCUAGCCCCCCAAAUAUUGUUUUAUGUAAAAUGAGUGAAUGCUCCUAACCAGCGCAUAUGCUGCUCUGUGUGCCACUGU